CCUACGGGUGGCAGCAGUGAGGAAUAUUGGUCAAUGGGCGGAAGCCUGAACCAGCCAAGUAGCGUGCAGGAUGACGGCCCUACGGGUUGUAAACCUCUUUUGUACGGGAAUAAAGCGCGUUACGUGUGACCCUUUGCAUGUACCCUAUGAAUAAGCAUCGGCUAAAUCCGUGCCAGCAGCCGCGGUAAUACGGAGGAUGCGGGCGUUAUCCGGAUUUAUUGGGUUUAAAGGGUGCGCAGGCGGCUGGUCAAGCCGGCGGUAAAAGUUCGGGGCUCAACCCCGGCCUGCAGUUGAAACUGGGGUGCUUGAGUCCGCGAAAAGCAGGCGGAAUGCGUGGUGUAGCGGUGAAAUGCUUAGAUAUGACGAAGAACCCCGAUUGCGAAGGCAGCUUGCUGGAGCGGAACUGACGCUGAUGCACGAAAGCGUGGGUAUCGAACAGGAUUAGAUACCCUAGUAGUC
rnacentral:rRNA from 1 species